GAUAGCUGGUUCUCCCCGAAAUGCAUUUAGGUGCAGCCCUGAAUGUUUAGUGAUGGGGGUAGAGCGCUGAAUGGACGCGGGCGGUUGUGACCGUACCAAAUCCAAUCAAACUGCGAAUACCAUUACUUAAGAGUUCAGGAGUGAGACUGCGGGAGAGAAGUUUCGUAGUCGAGAGGGAAAGAGCCCAGACCCACAGCUAAGGUCCCGAAGACAUGCUGAGUGUGGCAAGGAUGUGACGAUGCCUGGACAGCCAGGAGGUUGGCUUAGAAGCAGCCACCCUUUAAAGAGUGCGUAAUAGCUCACUGGUCGAGGAUUGUUGCGCCGAAAAUACAGGGGGCUAAGCAUGUCACCGAAGCUUGGGGAUUGGAUGUAAGUCCGAAUCGGUAGGGGAGCGUUCCAUGUAGGGAGAAGUCAAACCGGCGAGGUUUGGUGGACAGCAUGGAAGUGAGAAUGCCGGCAUGAGUAACGCGAAGUGUGUGAGAAUCACACUCACCGGAAGUCCAAGGGUUCCUGGGGAAGGUUGAUCCGCCCAGGGUAAGGCGGGGCCUAAGGUAAGGCCGAGAGGCGUAGCUGAUGGACAACAGGUUGCUAAUCCUGUCCCGCGAAGCGGUUGAUUGACGAUGGAGUGACGCAGGAAGCUAGGUGCGCCGGCGGAUGGAAUAGCCGGUCUAAGGGCGAAGCCUGGACGGGGAGGGAAAUCCCCCUGUUUAUAGGUGAGACCUGACGGGGAGUUGUCAGAGAUGGCGACGAAGGCAUUGACGCUCUACUGCCGGGAAAAGCUUCUAAGGAGACCGCCCGCGCCCGUACCCGAAACCGACACAGGUGGACUGGCUGAGAAGGCUAAGGUGAGCGGGAGAACUAUCGUUAAGGAACUCUGCAAGUUGACCCCGUAACCUAGGGAGAAGGGGUGCCACAAGGGUGAAGAAGGACAUUUGGAGCCCGAAGUGGUCGCAGAAACCAGGCACAGGCGACUGUUUACUAAAAACACAGGACUCUGCAUAAGGCGUAAGCCGAAGUAUAGGGUCUGACACCUGCCCGGUGCUGGAAGGUUAACUGGAGGGGUUAGUGCCGCGAGGUGCGAAGCUCUGAAAUGAAGCCCCAGUAAACGGCGGCCGUAACUAUAACGGUCCUAAGGUAGCGAAAUUCCUUGUCGGGUAAGUUCCGACCUGCACGAAAGGUGUAACGAUCUGUGCGCUGUCUCGACGGUAGACCCGGUGAAAUUGUGGUCCUGGUAAAGACGCCAGGUACCCGUGGUGGGACGGAAAGACCCCAUGGAGCUUUACUGUAACUUGGUAUUGGAUUUUGUCCUAUGAUGCACAGGAUAGGUGGGAGGCAUUGAUUCAAUUAUUUCGGUGAUUGAUGAGCCGUUGUUGGGAUACCACCCUUUAUAUGAUGAAAUUCUAACCCUUAGGCGUUGCAACACGCGGGGGGACAUUGCCAGGCGGGCAGUUUGACUGGGGCGGUCGCCUCCCAAAGAGUAACGGAGGCGCGCAAAGGUCACCUCAGGGCGAAUGGAAACCGCCCUAAGAGAGCGUAAGCGUAUAAGGUGGCUUGACUGCGAGACUGACGAGUCGAGCAGGGACGAAAGUCGGUGCUAGUGAUCCGGUGGUUCCGAAUGGAAGGGCCAUCGCUCAACGGAUAAAAGCUACC
rnacentral:rRNA from 1 species